rnacentral:lncRNA from 1 species
AAAAAAAAAAAAAAAAAAAAAAAAAAAAAUGAGAGGAAAAUACUUGGAGUAUAAUCGGGGAAACUGUCCAGUCCUCGAAGCCUAGAGCAGCUCUGUCAAGGCUCCUGAUGGUUUCUGCCAGCACAAUGCCGCCAAUGCAGCUCAUGUCCUCCAUCUGUCGAAUCAUAGGGCAAAAUCGCAGAUCCACGAAGCCUGGGUCCUUGUGAAACAAGAAACCAGCUAAUAAGCAAAAACCAAGGCCC